rnacentral:rRNA from 1 species
UGCCGCGUGCAGGAUGAAGCCCUUCGGGGUGUAAACUGCUGUCAGGGAUUAGGAACACAAUGACCAUUCCCAAAGGAAGAGACGACUAACUCUGUGCCAGCAGUCGCGGUAAUACAGAGGUCUCGAGCGUUAGUCGGAUUCAUUGGGCUUAAAGCGUACGUAGGCGGAUAUGCAGGCGUCGUGUGAAAGCCCUCGGCUCAACCGAGGAAUUGCACGGCGAACCGCAUGUCUUGAGAUCGGUAGGGGCGGUCGGAACGAUAGGUGGAGUGGUGAAAUGCGUUGAUAUCUAUCGGAACGCCGAAGGUGAAAACAGGCCGCUGGGCUGAUUCUGACGCUGAGGUACGAAAGCGUGGGGAGCAAACGGGAUUAGAUACCCCGGUAGUCCACGCCGUAAACGAUGUGCACUAGAUCGAGGAGGAUCUGACUCCAUUCUCGGUCGAAGUAAAAACGUUGAGUGCACCGCCUGGGGAGUACGGUCGCAAGGCUAAAACUCAAAGGAAUUGACGGGGGCUC